rnacentral:rRNA from 1 species
GAUGAACGCUGGCGGCGUGCCUAAUACAUGCAAGUCGAGCGAACAGACGAGGAGCUUGCUCCUCUGACGUUAGCGGCGGACGGGUGAGUAACACGUGGAUAACCUACCUAUAAGACUGGGAUAACUUCGGGAAACCGGAGCUAAUACCGGAUAAUAUAUUGAACCGCAUGAUUCAAUAGUGAAAGACGGUUUUGCUGUCACUUAUAGAUGGAUCCGCGCCGCAUUAGCUAGUUGGUAAGGUAACGGCUUACCAAGGCAACGAUGCGUAGCCGACCUGAGAGGGUGAUCGGCCACACUGGAACUGAGACACGGUCCAGACUCCUACGGGAGGCAGCAGUAGGGAAUCUUCCGCAAUGGGCGAAAGCCUGACGGAGCAACGCCGCGUGAGUGAUGAAGGUCUUCGGAUCGUAAAACUCUGUUAUUAGGGAAGAGCAAAUGUGUAAGUAACUAUGCACGUCUUGACGGUACCUAAUCAGAAAGCCACGGCUAACUACGUG